AUUGAACGCUGGCGGCAUGCUUUACACAUGCAAGUCGAACGGCAGCACGGGGGCAACCCUGGUGGCGAGUGGCGAACGGGUGAGUAAUAUAUCGGAACGUACCCGGAAAUGGGGGAUAACGUAGCGAAAGUUACGCUAAUACCGCAUAUGCCCUAAGGGGGAAAGCGGGGGAUUCGCAAGAACCUCGCGUUUUCGGAGCGGCCGAUAUCGGAUUAGCUAGUAGGUGAGGUAAAGGCUCACCUAGGCGACGAUCCGUAGCUGGUCUGAGAGGACGACCAGCCACACUGGAACUGAGACACGGUCCAGACUCCUACGGGAGGCAGCAGUGGGGAAUUUUGGGACAAUGGGGGGCAACCCUGAUCCAGCCAUGCCGCGUGAGUGAAGAAGGCCU
rnacentral:rRNA from 1 species